UAGUCCACGCCGUAAACGAUGGAUACUAGCUGUUCGGACUUCGGUCUGAGUGGCUAAGCGAAAGUGAUAAGUAUCCCACCUGGGGAGUACGUUCGCAAGAAUGGAAACUCAAAGGAAUUGACGGGGGCCCGCACAAGCGGUGGAGCAUGUGGUUUAAUUCGAUGAUACGCGAGGAACCUUACCAGGGCUUAAAUGGUAGUGGGACAGGUCUGGAAACAGAUCCUUCUUACGGACUCAUUACAAGGUGCUGCAUGGUUAGUCGUCAGCUCGUGCCGUGAGGUGUCAGGUUAAGUCCUGUAACGAACGCAACCCCUAUCGUUAGUUACCAGCGAGUAAUGUCGGGAACUCUAGCGAGACUUGCCUGCGCAAGCAGUGAGGAAGGUGGGGAUGACGUCAAGUCAUUAUGGCCCUUACGCCCAGGGCUGCACACGUGCUACAAUGGACGGUACAACAGGCUGCCACUUCGCAAGAAGGAGCUAAUCCCUAAAGCCGUUCUCAGUUCGGAUCGG
rnacentral:rRNA from 1 species